rnacentral:rRNA from 1 species
AAUUAAAAAAGUUUGGCGGUAAUUUAGUCUAAUUAGAGGAACCUGUAGAAUGAAUGAUAAUCCACAAGUAUCUUACUUAAAUUUGUAUAUACAAUUUAUAUAUCGCCGUUUAGAUUAAUUUAAAAGGAUUUUAUCAGAAAAAUAUUAUUUAAAAAUUCAGGUCAAGGUGUAGUUAAUAUUUAAGUUCUUAUGGGUUACAAUAAAUGUAUUUAAUAUAUGGAUGUUAAUUGAAAUAUUUAGUAUGAAGGUGGAUUUAAUUGUAAAUAUUUAUUAUAAAGAAAUUUUGAAUAAGCACUAAAUUAUGC